UACGGAGGGCGCGAGCGUUAAUCGGAAUUACUGGGCGUAAAGCGCGCGUAGGCUGUUGUGUAAGUUGGGGGUGAAAUCCCACGGCUCAACCGUGGAACAGCCCUUGAUACUGCGCGACUUGAAUCCGGGAGAGGGUGGCGGAAUUCCAGGUGUAGGAGUGAAGUCCGUAGAUAUCUGGAGGAACAUCAGUGGCGAAGGCGGCCACCUGGACCGGUAUUGACGCUGAGGCACGAAAGCGUGGGUAGCAAACAGG
rnacentral:rRNA from 1 species